GACGAACGCUGGCGGCGUGCCUAACACAUGCAAGUCGAACGAAGCACCUUGAUUUCUUCGGAUUGAUUGGUGACUGAGUGGCGGACGGGUGAGUAACGCGUGGGUAACCUGCCUCACACAGGGGGAUAACAGUUAGAAAUGACUGCUAAUACCGCAUAAGACCACAGUGCCGCAUGGUACAGUGGUAAAAAACUCCGGUGGUGUGAGAUGGACCCGCGUCUGAUUAGCUAGUUGGUGGGGUAACGGCCCACCAAGGCGACGAUCAGUAGCCGACCUGAGAGGGUGACCGGCCACAUUGGGACUGAGACACGGCCCAAA
rnacentral:rRNA from 1 species